GUUUUCUCUGAAAAGAUAGUGUUAACUGCAAAAAGCCUGAAGGGAAUGAUGCUACUCACUAGAACAAAUACAAUAAGCUGUAGUUGUUCUGGUAACCAUAAUGUCCCUUUAAAUUAAAACACUGUACUUGGUUGUAGUAACGCUUUAAAUAUUACUGCCUUGUUAGUAACUCAUUGUGGCAAUCAUAAAAAUGAUCUUAUUGUGGGAAGAAAAAUGGUUACACCAAA